CGAACCAUGUUGGUAACGAGUAACGGGGAAUCAGGGUUCGAUUCCGGAGAGGCAGCCUGAGAAACGGCUGGCACAUCUAAGGAAGGCAGCAGGCGCGUAAAUUACCCAUUGCAGACUCUGCGAGGUAGUGACAAGAAAUAACGAGGCGUUGAUCCUAGUGAUCGUCGCUGUCGGAAUGAGAGCAGUUUAAAAUGCUCAUCGAGUAUCAAUUGAAGGGAAAGUCUGGUGCCAGCAGCCGCGGUAAUUCCAGCUUCAAUAGCGUAUACUUAAGUUGUUGUGGUUGAAGAGCUCGUAGUCGUAACUCUGGAUUAUCAACUUGUAGUGGGCGUCGCUUCGGUGGUGCUCACUUUAGGAGUUUGGUAUCCUCAUUUUGACGUUUGGGUGCGGGUGUCAUUAACUUGACGUCCGUAAACUGCGUCGAUUUUACCUUGAAUAAAUCGGAGUGCUCAAAGCAGGCUCUAAUGCUUGAACGAUUGUGCAUGGGAUAAUGGAACAGGGCGUCUCCGCCCUUACAUUGGUUUAAGUGGAGACGUAAUGAUAGAUAGGAACGGACGGCGUGAUUCGUACGAGAGGGUGAAAGGUGAAAUUUUUAGAUCCUUCUCAGACGAGCGGAUGCGAAGGCGUUUCACGAGAACGUUUUCAUUGAUCAAGAGCGAAAGAAGCAGGUUCGAAAACGAUUAGAUACCGUUGUAGUUGCUUCCGUAAACGAUUUAGACUUGCGAUAGGCAAGGGUUGUUAAUAACCUUGUCUGCAGCUUCCGGGAAACCAAAGUGUUUGUAGCCCAGGGGGAGUAUGGUUGCAAAGCUGAAACUUAAAGAAAUUGACGGAAGGGCACCACCAGGCGUGGAGCCUGCGGCUUAAUUUGACUCAACACGGGACAACUUGCCCGGCCCGGACACAGGAAUGAUUGACAGAUUGAGAGCUCUUUCUUGAUUCUGUGGGUGGUGGUGCAUGGCCGUUCUUAGUCGGUGGAGUGAUUUGUCUGGUUAAUUCCGAUAACGGACGAGACUCUGACAUGCUAACUAGUUUCGCUUGCUACCUUUUAGGUCAGGUGGGAACUUCUUAGAUGGAUUGGCGCCUUUUUGAAUGCGCAUGAAAUAGAGCUAUAACAGGUCUGUGAUGCCCUUAGAUGUUCGGGGCCGCACGCGCGCUACAAUGAAUUGGUCAAUAGGAUUUAGCUGAGGCGAAAGCUUGUCGCAAGACAUUUCGGCGAAUCGAACAAACCAGUUCAUGCUUGGGAUAGUUGCUUGUAAUUCUUCAACUUGAACGAGGAAUGCCUAGUAAUGCUGGGUCAUCAACCCAGCGUGAUUACGUCCCUGCCCUUUGUACACACCGCCCGUCGCUAGUACCGACUAGUUGGUUUAGUGAGUCGCUUGGAUUUAUAGGUUGGAAGGUCGCAAGGCCGGAAAAUCAGUGAAGAAGAAUGGCAAACUUGGUCAACCGGAGGAACUAAAAGUCGUAACAAGGUCUCCGUAGGUGAACCUGCGGAGG
rnacentral:rRNA from 1 species